rnacentral:rRNA from 1 species
AUGGGAAGCAUGGGAGAAGAGCGAGCAAUGACGGUGCAGGAGCUCGCAAACGUCCUCGGCAAGCCCGACGUGCCAGCCCAGUACGUGGUGCGCGGGCACCACAACCAGCAGCUCGCCACAGCCGUCGCAGCACCUAUCCCUGUCAUCGACCUCUGCCGCCUUUUCACGGAGGAUGGUGCAGCCACUGAUGAGGCAUCGAAGCUUCGAGCAGCGCUCGAGUCAUGGGGCCUCUUCCUGCUCAGUAACCAUGGUGUAGAAACCACCAUGAUGGACGGCAUGAUGAUUGCUUCGAGGGAGUUUUUCAAGCGGCCACUUGAAGACAAGAAGAGGUACACCAACCUAAUCGGCGGUGAGCAGUUCCAGUUUGAGGGGUACGGGAAUGACGAGGUGAGGUCACCUGACCAGAUCCUGGACUGGUCUGACCGCCUCUACCUCAAGGUAGAGCCCGAGGACGAGCGACGCAUCGCCCUCUGGCCAACACAUCCUGAAAACUUCAGGGAUAUUCUGCACAACUUCACGAGAAAAUGUGGGGGAGUGAAGGACAAUCUGCUCCAGGCAAUGGCGAAGCUGCUGCAGCUUCAUGAUGACGACUACUUUGUGGACCAGCUCGGGGAGAAGGCUGAAACUAACGUGAGAUGCAGCUACUACCCAAAGUGUCCAAGGCCAGAGCUUGUAUUUGGUCUCAAGCCUCACUGCGAUGGAACCGUCCUUACACUUCUCAUGGUCGAUGACAGCGUCGGUGGCCUGCAAGUUCUAAGAGAUGGAGUGUGGUGGGAUGUACCGAUCGUACCUCACACACUGUUGGUCAUUAUAGGAGAUCAGACUGAGAUUAUGAGCAACGGCUUCUUCAAGAGCCCUGUGCAUAGGGUCAUGACAAAUGCAAAGAAAGAGAGGCUAUCAGUGGCUCUAGACUAUUCUGUUGACCAUGAGAGAGAAAUUGAGCCAUCGGCUCAGCUGAUCGAUGAGAAGAGACCAGCAUUGUACAUGAAAGUGAAGGUCAAGGACUACAUUGCCGGGCUGUAUGAACAUUUCUCUAAGGGAACGAUGGUUAUUGAUACACUGCAGAUAUAA